GACGUAGGGCGCGAGCGUUGUCCGGAUUUAUUGGGCGUAAAGAGCUCGUAGGCGGUUUGUCGCGUCUGCCGUGAAAGUCCGGGGCUCAACUCCGGAUCUGCGGUGGGUACGGGCAGACUAGAGUGAUGUAGGGGAGACUGGAAUUCCUGGUGUAGCGGUGAAAUGCGCAGAUAUCAGGAGGAACACCGAUGGCGAAGGCAGGUCUCUGGGCAUUACCUGACGCUGAGGAGCGAAAGUGUGGGGAGCGAACAGG
rnacentral:rRNA from 1 species